UCCUGAUCGCUCAGUUGGUAAAGAAUCCGCCUGCAAUGCGGGAGACCUGGGUUCAAUCCCUGGAUUGGGAA
rnacentral:tRNA from 1 species